AUGGGUAUCUCCAGUGCUGUGGAUUGGUGGGAGGAGUGGCAGCUGCGCAUCCUCGUCCUUGGCAGCCUGCUGGUCCAGUGGUUCCUCUUCCUCUCCGCCCCUACACGUAAACGUGCAAUACCUCCAUGGUUCAGAUCCUUAAUAUGGCUCGCGUACUUAGGCGGCGACGCUAUAGCCAUAUAUGCUCUGGCCAACCUCUUCAGCCGCCAGAGGAGACAAGAUUGUAGCUCUGGACAGGGCAAUAGCAUCCUGGAAGUGGUGUGGGCGCCGGUUCUCCUGAUGCACCUCGGAGGAUAUGAGUCGAUAACCGCCUACAACAUCGAAGACAACGAGCUGUGGACGCGGCAUGUCCUCACUGCCGUGUCCCAGAUUACCGUA
rnacentral:rRNA from 1 species